GGGGCGUUGGCGCAGUGGGAGCGCAUCACACUGGCAGUGUGGGGGUCGUCGGUUCGAAUCCGAUACGCUCCACCA
rnacentral:tRNA from 1 species